UGUGUCACUGUGUCACUGUGUGUCACUGUGUGUCACUGUGUGUCACUGUGUCACUGUGUCACUGUGUCACUGUGUGUCACUGUCACUGUCACUGUGUCACUGUGUGUCACUGUGUCACUGUGUCACUGUCACUGUGUCACUGUGUGUCACUGUCACUGUCACUGCGUCACUGUCACUGUGUGUCACUGUCACUGUGUCACUGUCACUGUGUCACUGUGUGCUGUGUCCCUGUGUCCCUGUGUCACUGUGUCAUUGUGUCACUGUGGUGUCCCCUGAUGACCCCAUGUCCCCCACGAUGUCCUCCUGAUGUCCCUGUGGUGUCCCCAGGUGUCACUCACCAUGGUUGAAUCCUCCCAGCUCAGGAUCAGGAACCUGUGACGUUCCCCAGGUGUCCCCAGGUGUGUCCCCAGGUGUCCCCAGGUGUGUCCCCAGGUGUCCCCAUGUCCCCCCAGGUGUCCCCAUGUCCCCAGGUGUCACUCACCAUGGUGGAGUCCUUCUGGCUCAGGAUCAGGAACCCGUGACGUUCCCCAGGUGUCCCCAGGUGUGUCCCAGGUGUCCCCAGGUGUAUCUCAGGUGUCCCCAGGUGUGUCUCAGGUGUGUCCCAGGUGUCCCCAGGUGUGUCCCAGGUGUAUCUCAGGUGUCCCCAGGUGUGUCCCCAUGUCCCCCCAGGUGUCCCCAGGUGUCCCCAGGUGUCACUCACCAUGGUGGAGUCCUCCCGGCUCAGGAUCAGGAACCCGUGACGUUCCCCGUCCUCCUCGGAACUUUCCGGAGCCGUCGCUGCCGCCUCGGGCUCUGCGCUGGUCCCUGGGGCCACCUCCGGCUGUGGGGACAGGGACAGGGUGGGGACACUGUGGGGACACUGUGGGACACCGUGGGACACCAUGGGGACAGGGACAGGGACAGGGACAGGGUGGGGACACUGUGGGACACCAUGGGGACAGGGACAGGGACACAGUGGGGACACUGUGGGGACACUGUGGGACACGGUGGGGACAGGGACAGGGACAGGGACACAGUGGGACACCGUGGGGACAGGGACACAGUGGGGACAGGGACAGUGUGGGGACAGGGACAGGGAGAGCGUGGGGCCAGGGACACACUGGGGACAGGGACACACUGGGGACAGGGACAGCAUGGGGACAGGGACACAGGGACACAGGGACACACUGGGGACAGGGACACAGGGACAGGGACACACUGGGGACAGGGACAGCGAGGGGACAGGGACACACUGGGGACAGGGAUGGGGACAGGGAUAGGGACACAGGGACAGCGUGGGGCCAGGGACACUGUGGGGACAGGGACACUGUGACAAGGGGACACACGGACAUGGAAGGACCUGGGGACACAGAGACAGGGACAGGAACACGGUGACACGAGGGGACACAGGAAGGUGACACAGUGACACAGGGGAGGGGACACGGUGACACGAGGGGACAUGGGGAGGGGACACGGUGACACAGUGACAUGAGGUGACAUCAGGUGAUACAUGGCAACACACAGUGACACAAGGUGAGGUGACAUACAGUGACACACGGUGACACACAGUGACACACAGUGACACAGUGACACACAGUGACAGUGACACACGGUGACACAGGUGACACACAAUGACACACAGUGACACACAGUGACACAGUGACACAGUGACACACAGUGAAACAGUGACACACAAUGACACACAGUGACACACAGUGACACACAGUGACAGUGACACAGUGACACACAGUGACACAGUCACACGCAGUCACACACAGUGACACACAGUGACACACGGUGAGGUGACACACAGUGACACACACGGUGACACAGUGACACACAGUGACACAGUGACACAGAGUGACAGUGACACACGGUGACACAGUGACACACGGUGACAGUGACACACAGUGACACACGGUGACACACACGGUGACACACACGGUGACACGGUGACACACCUGCUGGCGCGGCGGGGGCGCGGUGACCGUCCACAUGUCGUAACAGCCGGGGAGCUCAAACGUGGUGACAACCUGCGGCCGGA
rnacentral:lncRNA from 1 species